UUAAAAUACCCUAUCCAUUUUCUCUCGACAGUGGCAUGAUUGACAAAUGUUAUAAUGAGUUUUAACAACUCUUUCUCAAAUUAAAGAGUUUCUUAUCAUGUCAUCCAUGGCCAUAUCGAAUGUCAAUCUAAUUGAAAAUUGAGUGCAUUUAAAUUCAAGUGGCACAUCUGUAAGAAUCAUAGGGAUUCGUGGCAGCAAUACACUCUCGCCUCGGAACUUGCGAUUCAAAGUGGUGACUGUUCAAGAUUUCAGUUCAUUAGAAUGCAGUCCUGCGCAUAAUUAGUAAAGACACAAAUCAAUACCAGUCAGCUGAUUGCUGAAUGCUGAAUGAUCAGCAUAAUGGUUUCCUCCUUUAAGCAUUGUAUUUAUAGACUAGUAGUUUCACCCUAGCAUAAGAAAUGUAAAUGUAAAUUUAACAUAUGGAAACUAUAUAUAAGUAUUUACAUAUGUAUCAAGUGGCGUGAUGCAGCAUCCCGUUAACUAAACGUAUAUUUAAGGAGGAAUUCAAUAAAUUAGAGAACUAUUUCCUGAUAGGCUGGUUUACGAUCAAGACGACCUCUUUUGCUUACAUCAAUUAAUAUAAAUUUUGUACAAUGGCUUCGCUAAUGUUUUCAGGCUAACAGGCCUCCCGACGCGUGGUGCAUCUUUGACAUCGAAAUUACCAGAACGGAACCUAGCAAACCACUUUUUUGCUACACGUUCGUAUACUAUCGUGGUCAUAAACUAAAUUAAUUUUUUCAGCCGCUUUGGCUGCUUUUUCGCCUUGAUCGAAGAAAAAUUGUAAAAUAUAGCGAAUUUUCUCUUUGCUGGUGUCCAUCUUUGACGAGCGCUCACAACGUACUGAGUAAAUCAAUCGAAAAACUGUCAAAGACAAACUUUUAGCGCGAAUAAACACGUUAUAGUAUGACAUGAUGCGACACGAAACACUAGUACUAUGGACAAUAACGCCAUCUCUUAGAUAAAAACCGAACGAAACUUUUACUUGACCAAUAUCUUUCAAUAUGCUAUCUUAUCCAAUGCCUCCAUCUGAGUUAUUUCGAAUGUUUCAGUUUUGUCGAUUCAGUAAUAACACCUAACAACAUAAAAAGAAACGGUGACAAAAAUGAGUCAUUGCAGUGUUCAGCAGCAGAAGUAGAACCGAAGCAGAGAAUGCUCUCAGCAGAAGCAGCAGUAAGCAGUAAUCGCGCAACAACAAAGCUGCAGGCAAUAGCAAGCAUGCAGGUAGCAGCAAACGCAUGGACAAUAAAGAAAAAAAUAAGCAAAGGUGUAGUGUACAUAAUUAAAAAGGAGCAACCCUCCAAAUUGGUAUUGACCGCUACGUAAACAUUAAAAGGAUAAAAUGUCCUAUUAAAAAACAGCUGACAACUCAAAAAAUUUCAAGCUGGCAUUCCAAACGUAUCAUAAAUAAGGAUGAAACUCUAAAUGGCAACAGCUUUAUUGAGUAACGAACCUAACGAUGAACUACCUGGUUACAGAGAUCAAAAGAAAUCAGUUGGUCCAUCUGGUGGCAGCCCGACGACUUGGGAAUUCUAUAGGAAAAUAAAUUGUAUUCUCGGCAGCUAUAAAAGCUUUAAUUUGGAAACAGUAAAGUUUUAGAAGAUUAUGAGUCAUCGUUUAAUAGAUCUUCGAUUAUUGGAUUAAUUUUCCAAGCAGAAUUACCGCUUCCAAAGGAUGCAGACGAGGAACCUGCAAAAAGAAAGAAAAAAAUGUAUCAGUGAACAUUCAAAAUGAGUUUUUUGGGGAAAUAACCGGCGGCAAAUAGGAGAAUAGCGACAGAAAUUGAAGCAACUAAAGAGGAUGGCAGGCGCUUUCGAAAUUUGUUUGCACUUGCAACUAUUUCGUGUUUAUGUUGUCAUUAAUUUCAUUUCAAAUACUGUGCAAGAUGCAUUUUACAUUUUAUUAUUGUCAUUGCGUUUUUAAUAUCGAUGUCAAUGCCUUUCCCUAUCCUUCUAAACAUUGCUUUCAGAUGGCCAAAUGCGUUCUCCACAACACUUCGAGAUUUAGAUAAGUGGUAAUUGAAAAUAUUCUCGUGAUCCUUAGUGCCUGGAUUAUAGGGAUAGGGCUUCAUUAAAAACGGAGUAAAGCGAAAUUCUGAGUCCCAAGAACUACAAUGGGAACAUUAGUGUCACAAAAUUUUUUUUGCAUUCUCUUUAAGCAGAGGGUUUUUGCAAAAUUCUUUUCAAGUCGGAUUUUUCGAAUAUUUGAGAAUCAUUACAACGACCAGGCGCUCCAACAUUAAUGUAUAUGAACCUGCUAUUUUUCAUUUAUGAAAUGCUAUUUUUCAAAACAUUUAUGUUGUUAACUUACCUGUAGUCUACGAAGACUAGUUAAACCAUUGAGUGCCAACCCUUGUAGUUGAAAUAGUCAACAGCAUCAGAUGCGGAGGGCCUAAUCUCAAUUCGGCAUCCAUCUGAAAUGAAUUGUAUUUGCAUGUUAUGGGUAAAUAUUUGAAAUUCACAAAUUUACCUACUGCGCCCAGACAUUGUGGAAAUCCAAUUUUUUAAAAUCCGUCAACGCACUUCGUCACUUUUUUUCUUGCGCGAGAAACGAGCUAGUUUAAUAUUUAGACGAGAGUAUGUUCCACACCCCUCGGCAAAAGUCUUUAAGAAAAAGACAAACAGACGCUUUGGAAACCGCGAAAAGUCUUCCAACUGUUCUGUAUUCAGCAGAAGAACCAAGGGCGUACAAAACGAUAGCUAUUCUUUUUUCUAAAGGAAUACAUUGCCUGUAUGUAGUAUUAUGUUUUUUUUAGCUAAAUACACAAACUUGUGAAUGAUUUACGACUCAUUCUGAAGCUUUCCUUGAAAAAUUGGUCACUAUUGCAAGCAAUUGUCGAGCUCCCAAAAAUUACCGUACCUUUCCUAUAAUACAACAUCAAGCGGAUAACUUGUUGUGGGAAUUUAAUAAAAAGUGAUAUAAUUGCUUACGUGCUUCCACAAACGUUUUGGUCUAUUCUUAUUUAAUACAAAAUGCAAUAACGCAAAAUGCAAUAACGCAUAAUAUGUUUUUGAAUCUGAGUUGUCGUCUUUUCCGUAUUUCAUUCAACUUCUUAUUUCUGGCAGCAAUCUGCACAAUUAAGUAUAUAAUCACCUUCUUUUUUUCUUCCAUGUUGCUA